rnacentral:rRNA from 1 species
UACGGAGGGUGCGAGCGUUGUCCGGAAUCAUUGGGCGUAAAGGGCGCGUAGGUGGCGGGACAAGCGUGCGGUGAAAGCUCGGGGCUCAACCCCGAGUCGGCCGUGCGAACUGUCUUGCUUGAGCACUGUAGAGGCAGGCGGAAUUCCGGGUGUAGCGGUGGAAUGCGUAGAGAUCCGGAAGAACACCGGUGGCGAAGGCGGCCUGCUGGGCAGUUCCUGACACUGAGGCACGAAGGCCAGGGGAGCAAACGGG